rnacentral:lncRNA from 1 species
AUUAAUUGAAAACAAUAAUUAAUUAAUGAUCAUUAAUAAUUUAAUUCAUUAACUAAUAUUAAUAUUUAAUUAAUGUUAAAGGAUUGUUUUAAAUAUAAAGAAUAUAAAGAAAAGAAUGUUAGUCAAUGUGCCUUGUACCACUUACCAUAAACAUUACUUAGGCUAUAGCAAAAUUGUAUAUACCUUUAGAAUUCCUCCCCUUCCAUUAGGUAUAAUGCUGAUUUUUCCCCCUCAAAUUUAAUGAAUAUAUAGGAGUAAAUUUGAAGAUAUGAGAUACAUUGUGUGAGGAAAUAUUAUUCUUGUGUAUAUUGGGGUUGAACACUAAGAUAAAAGGAAUUUUUAAGGAGGAUAUCAAUUAAUGUCAAAAGACUGAUCAAGAAAACUAAUUUUUCUUAAUAAAAUUAAUACACCACUGCACUUUGAAAUUAUUUAUAUUUUGUUGACCAUGCACUUUAAAUUUUUUUUUAUUUUUUUCAAAUAAAGAUAGAAAUUUUUCUUGUUCAAGAAGCUUGUUGAUAGCUUUUAAUCAUAUCUGUGAAAAAAUGAUGCAAAGAAGAGUCCAGAACCUCGAUUUAUUUUCUUGUCAAAUAGACAAAGGUGACAACGAACUGGGGCUUUGUACUUGUAUCUUCUUUGAUCCAGCAGAUGAGGAUGGAAAGGAACCAGGGGUUUUUAUAACUGAAAUUAUUGAAGGAGGUGCAGUUCACAAACUUGGAUGUAUCCGUGUAUUUGACCAGAUUAUUAAAAUAGGUGACAUCAAUCUAAUUGGAUUGGAUGAAGCAGAAAUCGUCUCUACUUUUAAAAAAAUGGACGAUUCUCCUUUCCAGAUUGAAAUUGGCCGCGAACCACCUGAAGUGAAGUCAGAACUUAUCGAACUCCUUGAGUUGUCAGAGCAAAGGAAGAAAUAUUUUAUGGAUUCGCUCAUAGUACAGGAAAAAAUUGGAGAUAUCACUAUUGUGAGAGGACAAGCAAGUAUUUGUAGAAGUCCAAGAGUACCAUGGUUCUGGAUGGCCAGUGACCUGAAAUUUGUUAUUGGGGUACUGAAAAUAUUAAUAGAAGAAGAUCAGGGAUGUAGAAAAGACUUCCAAGCUAUCUUUGAGCAGGCUAACAUUUUUCAAGACAAUUAUAAAGACAUGAACACAUACAAUGUGAAUAUGGAACAGAAACCUGAUGAAUCAGAUAAAGAAGGCACAUUUUUACCAUUGGCCCCAGAAGAAGAAUUUUUACUAGGACAAUUUAAAAUAAAGCCUAAAGAGAUAAAAAAUAAAGAUUUAUCACCAGAGCAAUUAUUAGCCCAAGGGGAAUUCAAUUCAGGUGAGAAAAAUGAGGCUCAGAGAAGAUAUUCAGAUAGUUACCUUCCCAGCUGUAACUUCAUGGCUUCUGGCUCUAAAAUGAAGAACAUAGGUAAGUUCUUCACUUUAUAA